UGAGGAAUAGCUCAUUUGGUAGAGCAUGAAACUCCUAAUCUCAGGGUUGUGGGUUCAAGACCCACAUUGGGCAAAA
rnacentral:tRNA from 1 species